rnacentral:rRNA from 1 species
AUGCCAGAAGAGGAGAAGGAAGACCAUGAGUGGGGACCAGAGCCGAAUCUUGAGGAUCGUUUUGAGGGUCUAAAUCUUCGUGGGGAGGAAGAGACAGAUCUUGAUUUUUCGGAGGAACUAGAAGACCUAAUCAAGGAAGUCCGGUGGCUGGCGAUCUUCAAGGUUCAUACCACGCGUAAUUUUAGCCACUCAGCGUUGUUCAACAACAUGAGAACGGCGUGGUCGCCGGCGCAACAGAUCUCAUUCAAGACGAAGGGGCCAAACCUGUUUAUAGUUCAGUUUCGCUGCUUGGGGGAUUGGAAGAGGGUCAUGGAGGCCGGCCCCUGGUUAUUCCGUGAUGCUGCUGUUGUUAUCCAGGAGUAUGAUGGUUUCAGUAAUGUUAAUGAUUACAAACUAGACAAAGUGCCGGUGUGGACCAGAAUAGAGGGGAUACCGGAAGGUUUAAUGAGAAGAAAGGAGUUGGCUGAGAAAGUCGCAAGAAAGGUUGGGGAGCCGCCCAUCACAGUGAUUGUUACCGAAGGCAUGAUAAAUCCAUCUAAAUAUCUCAGAGCUAGAGUCUACUUGGAUUUCAACAAGCCAUUGGUAAGGUUUGUGCCGAUAACAAUUAAGGAAAGAAAGAAGUAUCCAGUAUAUUAUGAAAAGCUGCCGGAUUUUUGCUUCAUUUGUGGUUUGAUGGGGCAUGUAGUGGAAGAGUGCGGAGAUGGCAUACAUGAUCUUGAUAAAUGUGAAUGGGGCGAAUGGCUCAAAUGGGAUUUUGUACCAAAUGGAACCAGACAAGGAGCUGGAAGGGGUGCAAGGGAUAGAGGAUAUAUGGAAGGCAAUGGGAGAGGUGCAGGAAGGGAAGACCGUGGCCGAGCUGAAGGAUAUGGUAGAGCUGGUAGAAGUGUUGUAGGGGGAGGAAGAGGUGUAUGGAAUAAUAUGGCCGGUGACGAGAGGGAGUUCACCUAG